rnacentral:rRNA from 1 species
GACGAGCGGAGAAACGGGAGCUUGCUCCCAUUUCUCAGCGGCGGACGGGUGAGUAACACGUGGGCAACCUGCCCUACAGAGUGGGAUAACUCCGGGAAACCGGAGCUAAUACCGGGUAAUACGUAGCACCGCAUGAUGCAACGUUGAAAGUUGGCCUUUGGCUAACACUGUAGGAUGGGCCCGCGGCGCAUUAGCUAGUUGGUAAGGUAACGGCUUACCAAGGCCACGAUGCGUAGCCGACCUGAGAGGGUGAUCGGCCACACUGGGACUGAGACACGGCCCAGACUCCUACGGGAGGCAGCAGUAGGGAAUCUUCCGCAAUGGACGAAAGUCUGACGGAGCAACGCCGCGUGAGUGACGAAGGCCUUCGGGUCGUAAAGCUCUGUUGUUAGGGAAGAACAAGUACCGUUCGAAUAGGGCGGUACCUUGACGGUACCUAACCAGAGAGCCACGGCUAACUACGUGCCAGCAGCCGCGGUAAUACGUAGGUGGCAAGCGUUGUCCGGAAUUAUUGGGCGUAAAGCGCCGCCGCA